rnacentral:lncRNA from 1 species
ACCAUUGAUACACACCAUCCACUACGUAGAUGUCAAUACAACCCAUAUGUACUUCAUGAUUUUGAUUCUACAGCUAUAAAUAAUGGACUUUGUCGUGGAUAUGCAUCACUUUCACCCUCUCAAUCAUUUUAAUUCUUAGAGAACCACCAUCCAACAAUGGCAACCUUCUCCUUCUGAUCACCGAUUUGAAAGCCGGUGAAGGUACGUUUGUUUAGGUUUUGGGAAACCUUAAUGUGACUUGCUCCAGCUCUAUCGAUUAAAGCAGAUCCAAAACACACAUAAUCGACGGAGAAAAAGACAGGAGAGAUCUAAGAUUCACCUUAUCGGGGAGGUACUUGAGGAGGCGGCGAGGUAAACAAAAGCACUUGAGCCAUACACAUAACAACCCUACUUCAAAUUACAAGAGAUACGAUCGACAGAAAACUGGAGACCAGCUUUGACCGAUAUGGAACCACUAUUCUUUCUCCUGCACCUCUCGCCGGCUUCGCUGCUGUGGUGGCUUCAUCGGAACCAAACCGAUUCUUAACCUGUGUUCUAAAACUCCAUUGCAUGACCUCGGCGGCUGAGGAUACAUAAUCGGAGCUACGGCAUGGCGAGUUUGAGCUAAUCGGUAACAUUAGGCUGUGAG